rnacentral:rRNA from 1 species
GAUGAACGCUGGCGGCGUGCUUAACACAUGCAAGUCGAACGAGAAGUGGAGACGGAAACCUUCGGGCGGAAGACUUUAUUUCGAGUGGCGGACGGGUGAGUAACGCGUGGGUAACCUGCCUCAUACAGGGGGCUAACAGUUGGAAACGACUGUUAAUACCGCAUAAGACCACAGCACCGCAUGGUGCGGGGGUAAAAACUCCGGUGGUAUGAGAUGGACCCGCGUUCGAUUAGCCAGUUGGCGGGGUAACGGCCCACCAAAGCGACGAUCGAUAGCCGAUCUGAGAGGAUGACCGGCCACAUUGGGACUGAGGCACGGCCCAAACUCCUACGGGAGGCAGCAGUGGGGAAUAUUGCACAAUGGGGGAAACCCUGAUGCAGCGACGCCGCGUGAGUGAAGAAGUAUUUCGGUAUGUAAAGCUCUAUCAGCAGGGAAGAAAAUGACGGUACCUGAGUAAGAAGCCCCGGCUAACUACGUG